UGGGGAAUAUUGCACAAUGGGGGAAACCCUGAUGCAGCGACGCCGCGUGAACGAAGAAGGUAUUCGUAUCGUAAAGUUCUGUCCUAUGGGAAGAUAAUGACAGUACCAUAGAAGAAAGCUCCGGCUAAAUACGUGCCAGCAGCCGCGGUAAUACGUAUGGAGCGAGCGUUGUCCGGAAUUAUUGGGCGUAAAGGGUACGCAGGCGGUUUAAUAAGUCGAAUGUUAAAGAUCGGGGCUCAACCCCGUAAAGCAUUGGAAACUGGUAAACUUGAGUAGUGGAGAAGAAAGUGGAAUUCCUAGUGUAGUGGUGAAAUACGUAGAUAUUAGGAGGAAUACCAGUAGCGAAGGCGACUUUCUGGACACAAACUGACGCUGAGGUACGAAAGCGUGGGGAGCAAACAGG
rnacentral:rRNA from 1 species